UACAGAGGGUGCGAGCGUUGUUCGGAAUUAUUGGGCGUAAAGCGCAUGUAGGCGGGAUGUUAAGUCGCGUGUGAAAGCCCCAGGCUCAACCUGGGAAGUGCGCGCGAAACUGGCAACCUUGAGUGCUGGAGAGGGUGGCGGAAUUCCCGGUGUAGAGGUGAAAUUCGUAGAUAUCGGGAGGAACACCGGUGGCGAAGGCGGCGACCUGGGUCGACACUGACGCUGAGGCGCGAAAGCGUGGGGAGCAAACAGG
rnacentral:rRNA from 1 species